rnacentral:rRNA from 1 species
GAUGAACGCUGGCGGCGUGCCUAAUACAUGCAAGUCGAGCGAACAGACGAGGAGCUUGCUCCUUUGACGUUAGCGGCGGACGGGUGAGUAACACGUGGAUAACCUACCUAUAAGACUGGGAUAACUUCGGGAAACCGGAGCUAAUACCGGAUAACAUGUUGAACCGCAUGGUUCAACAGUGAAAGACGGUCUUGCUGUCACUUAUAGAUGGAUCCGCGCCGCAUUAGCUAGUUGGUAAGGUAACGGCUUACCAAGGCAACGAUGCGUAGCCGACCUGAGAGGGUGAUCGGCCACACUGGAACUGAGACCCGGUCCAGACUCCUACGGGAGGUAGCAGUAGGGAAUCUUCCGCAAUGGGCGAAAGCCUGACGGAGCAACGCCGCGUGAGUGAAGAAGGUCUUCGGAUCGUAAAACUCUGUUAUUAGGGAAGAACAAAUGUGUAAGUAACUAUGCACGUCUUGACGGUACCUAAUCAGAAAGCCACGGCUAACUACGU